AAAGUCGUAACAAGGUUUCCGUAGGUGAACCUGCGGAAGGAUCAUUAUUGAACCUAAGCAAGCCUGGCAAUUUAUUUUGCAAGGUUUUGCGCGUAUUUAAAACCCCACACUUUUUGAAAAUAACAUGUAUCUUACUUGAAUAAAAGUAAUUAAAAGAUCACUUUCAACAACGGAUCUCUUGGUUCUC
rnacentral:misc_RNA from 1 species